AAAAAAAACCACCCCGCACAAACACCUCUCGUAUCGAUCCCCUCGAGGAGAAGCCGUCGCCCCCAUCUCCCGCUCUGCCGCCGCCGCCCCCCGCCUUACCGUAUCUCCCUCUCAGCCACCUCCACCACCCCCACGCUUCUCCCCAUCGCCGGAUCCGCUAUUAGAUCGCCAAGGUUAGGCGGCAGAGCUCCACGUCCGCGACGCGCUCGUGCUCGUCAAGGAAGGGGCUGCCGAUCGAAUCUGCGCUCACGCGGCUUGUGUGCCAUGGCCGCCAUGGCAUCCAUGGCCGACAAGAGGGGACCCUCGGCCUCGGCCAUGGCCGCCUGCUUUGGACACGGGCUGGUACUGCAUCUCUUCGGCGGAAGGCGAAAAGAAUGGCGGCGGCGGGCAAUAUGGGAGAAGACGGUGCCCUGCCUGACAACGGACUCGAAUUUCUACUGGAUCUGGUUGACAGUGAGGUGGUUGCGGACGUUGAGGUGCCAGAUCCGUUGGCGGCAAGGGACUUAGUGGAGACAGACAUGGCUGGCGCCGAUUCCUCAUGCGCGGUUGUGGUUGGGCACCUCGGCGGAGCUGCUGAGCCCCGGGAUUCUGGCGGCAAGAGGAAACAGUAGUCAACCCAGUCCGUGGAAUCGACCGGGAAAGUGAACCCGGAGGCGCCCAGGUCGACCAGAAGGUAAAAAGUAAAAUUAGAGUUCUGAAACUUUCAGACAGAAUGGUUUUGAUUUUUGCAAGCACUGUCACAUACUUGUGCAUGAGCAUAUAUGCCUGGUGCUGUGAUUACUCGUUUCAGCUGGGUAUCCUCGUGAUUUUUCUGGUCAUACUAAUGCGAAUUGGUGUUUCAUAUAUACGACUAGCCAAGAAGUUUUUAGAUGGAUCAUGUCAUAGAUGGACUAGCCAAGAUUGUUUUCAGAUGGAGUGACGAGUGGCACCUGCAGUUCUAAAGGAAAUGUUAGGAGCUUAUGCCCGUCAUUGGCUUGUCUCCCCUGGGCUAUGCAUCCAGCUCCAGCGGGUUCAGCACGACUGAGGCAGCAGUGGGAAGGAAGAUUAUUUGGUAGGAUGGCGCUGACAACAUAUCGGAGAUGCGCCAAGCCUUGCUGCGACCUAGCUUUCUUGUGCUUGCUCUCCUUCCCCAACAACAGACCAUCAUGGCCCUCCCUUUUGUUGUUCAUCAAUGGGGGUCAUGUUCACAUCAGAACCAUCAUCAGCACAAUCUUCAUGAAUUUUCCAUAUUUGUCAUAUCUCUCUGAUUGUCCAGUGCAGAUCAUGUUGUUAAAAAGUGAAACUUCUGGGUUGAUUUCAGGUUUAAGGCGUAAAGACUUUUUUAGGUUCUGUUCGUGCUGGAAAAUUUAUGUUCAUUGUCGCACCAAUCAUGUCGGAACCGAAUUUAUUUUCAUUGUUUCAGUCCAAUUCAUCCUUAGAGGGAAAGUGUGGGCCUUGAACUGAAGGAGAGGCAAAUAUGUUUCUAUUCAUAGUUAAAUUGGUUCUUGAUUUGAAGAGAUUAUAGAGCCACGUAAUUUUGUACC